CAAAAGAGCAAACUGCCAAGUGCAAAGCGAAACCAUCAAACCGGUGCCGAUGCUCUGCCGGCGCCCGUGCCCCGGCGUGUUCCUCCGCCUCUUCGCCACUUCCUGCCGCCGCAGCUCCCUCCACCCCUCGCAGCCGCACCUCCGGACAGCUACAGCUCUCCCGACGCUGCCUGUGGCGAAGAAGGUCCCCUUCAAUGUGUCGGCGCACGGGAGGUCGUGGAGUGACCCGUACCACUGGAUGCGCGACACCUCCGACCCGGACCUCGCGGUCCUCCUCGCCGCUGAGAACGCGUACGCCGACGCGUUCGUAGGAUCGGCAGGUGGCGGCGGCCUCCGCGCGCACCUCGCCGCGGAGAUGCGCGCCCGGCUGCCCGCUUCUACUGCCACACCGCCUCAGCUCUGGGGACCUUGGUUUGUAUCGCGCUGCCUCGUUGUUCUAUACUCUGUAUGGCUGGGAAUGUGUUGGCAUGGAUUUCUAAAUUGAGGCGAUUUUAGGGCGUUGGUCUAGUCCUGUGUAGUAUUUAGUUAUGGUUUGGCAUGGAAAACUGUCGGAAAUGAGAUUUUGCACUUCUACUGUUUAAUUAGUCGAUUAGAUAUUCAGCUGUUUUCUGAAUUAAAAUGUUAACAACGUAGUAUUACUAGGACAGAUGUACAAGGACUGUUGUUUAGCUUAGCUAAGAGUUUUAAGAGUAUGAUGGCUGGUGAAAGUUUUCGGAUUGUUUGGUAAGUCCCCGGUUGCAGUAGUAAGAUAGUAUCCUUGAAUGCAUUUUACACACUGUGCCUAGGAAAAUUUGCAUGGUCUGUGUACCAUAGAUGGAUCUGAUUGAAAUUGUUGCUUUUCAAUUUUUAUUCGUCUCUUAGAUUUUUUGGAGAAAAAACUGUAGCGAAAGGGUGAAACAAUUAAUUUUAUAUUAUGUUGGGUUUUGACCACUAAUUUUCAGUUCUAAAAUCUUUAUAGUUCAGGAUUUAACGGUACAACAUGAUUGCUUACCGGGAACUGGGAACGUGACCACGUUCCUUGUUUCGGGAACGUUCGUUUCGGGAACGUGGGAACAAUCUCGUUCCCGUAAUGUUAAAACCUAGUUUUAUUAGUGUACCGUGGUAAGUGUACCACGUUCCCGUUUCUCGAUCCCAUCGAUCCGGGAAGCUGGUUACUAAGGUUGUACUUGCUCAAAAAGAUGCAGAGGUAGACCUUAGAAUAUGUAACUUUCUUUUGGAAUUCAGGUUGUAUUAUCAGUAUGUUCCAGAGGGAAAGGAGUACCCUGUUUUAUCUAGGAAGCUGAGGCCCUCUAGUGGUCUGGUAGGAACUCUGCUUGAUUACCUUUCUGGUUCUGAGAAGGAGCAAGUGUUGCUUGAUUGGAACGAGGUUGCAGAAAAAAAUGGUUAUGUCCACAUUGGGAGUUGUCGAAUCUCUCCAGAUCAUAGGUUUCUUGCAUAUACAGUUGAUACAUCUGGGGGUGAACUAUUUUCCCUUGAAGUGAAAGAUCUGCUGUCUGAGCAUGUCAUCUUUAGUUCACCAGACAAGGGAGUAGUUAGUUUAGCAUGGUCUGGCAACAAUGAAAGUUUAUUUUACACUGUCUGUGAUGAGACUCUACGUCCUAACCAGGUUUUCUGUAAAAAGUUGCAAUCGGAUGAAGCAGGGUUUCUAGUUUUCACGGAGAAAGAUGUAAACUGUUGUGUGGAUAUUACAAGCACAAAAGAUUUUAAGUAUAUGACUGUCAAUUCUAACACUAGGACAUCAUCUGAGGAAGGUUUUUGUAAUUGAAUCUGAUAAUCUAAGAGAAGGAUUAUGGCCUAUACGGAAACGUGUUGACAAAGUUCAGUACUUUUUGGAGCACCACAACGGGUUCUUUUACAUUCUUACCAAUGCUCCUGUAAAUGAUACCGAAACGACAACUGAAGGCUACUAUCUGGCCAGGUGUAGGGCUGAAAAGUCACUGGUGGAUAGAUGGCAGAUUGUGACGGUACCUGACUCGGACUGCACCAUUCAGGAUAUGGACAUUUUUCAUGAUAAUUUAGUUCUCUUUCUUCGAAAGAAUGGUACUCCUCUUUUUUGCUCCAUCAGUAUGCCAAUUGAUGUUGAUGUUCAGGAGCCAAAGGAACUUGAUGAUCUCAACCCAUGGUUUUUUCCCAUACCGUCAGAGUUAUGCAGCAUUGUUGCUGGAUCCAACAAUGAUUUCAUGUCAUCUACUUAUCAGCUAGUUAUUUCAUCACCUGUGAUACCGGACUUAACUGUGGACUAUGAUUUGAGAAAAAAGACUUUCACCAUCCUUCAUCAAGAGGAAGUAACUACCAUCUCUGCAAAUCUAGGCGGCCUGGGCUUUCAAUCCAAUGUUUCAAGCAUCCAACAAAACAUGCAGCUUGUUAAAACCUCACAAAAUUGGAGUGAUCUUUCCAAGCUAUUCUCAUGUGAAAGGGUUGAAGUUAUAUCACAUGAUGGUGUUUCAAUACCUUUAGUGAUCCUGUAUUCAUGGGGAGCACAUUGUCAUGGAGAAUCACCUGGGAUCUUAUACGGUUAUGGAGCUUAUGGAGAGGAUUUGGACAAAAGCUGGUGUUCUGAGAGGUUAAGCCUCCUCUCUCGAGGUUGGGUUCUUGCAUUUGCAGAUGUUAGGGGUGGAGGGGAUUUAUCAUGGCAUAUGGCAGGAACCAAAGCUAAUAAAAUGCAUUCAAUUCAAGAUUUUGCUGCAUGCGGCAGGCAUCUCAUAAAGCAAGGCUUUGUUCACCAAAAUCGCCUUUGUGCUAUAGGCUGUAGUGCUGGUGGUCUGUUGGUGGGUGCCGUCAUUAAUAUGCUUCCAGACUUAUUUUCUGCUGCAGUUCUCAAGGUCCCCUUUCUUGAUAUCUGCAACACAAUGUUGGAUCCUACUUUACCUCUCACUGUCUUGGACUAUGAAGAAUUUGGUGACCCUAAUAGCCCAGAUGAGUUUGAGGCGAUCAGCAGUUAUUCUCCUUAUGAUAACUUAGCACCUGAUGUGUGCUAUCCUCCAGUCCUGGUGACUGCCUCGUUUAAUGAUACAAGGGUAGGAGUUUGGGAAGCUGCUAAGUGGGUUGCAAAAGUAAGAGAUGUCGCGUGCCCAUCCUGUUCCCAGUCAGUUAUUCUCAAAACUAAUAUGCAAAGUGGCCAUUUUGGUGAGGGUGGGCGUUUCACGCACUGUGAUGAAACAGCCUUUGAGUAUGCAUUUCUCAUGAAGGCCUUGGGUUUGGAUGACGUAGCUAUGAUGUAGCGUACUCAUGCCUGAGGAUUUUCACGGAACAGAUUUUUUUGUGGCUCUGGAAGCAAAAACUGAGAUAAUUACCUUUUGUGAUAUGCUCAGGGAUAAGAUUGUAUCCUCAUAAUUAUUGAUUAAAAGAGCUCGCAAUGGAAGGUGAUGCACCCUUGAGGUGUGUUCUGUUUGGCAUUGGCUUUUAAUAGUCAAGCUGUGGAUUUCUACAUGCAUAUUAUCAACUUAUGCUUUCAAAAAUAGCACACUUGGAUGCUGCUCAUCAACAGUGCAAAGGUGGCAGAUGAGAUCCUUAUUAUGGUGUUCGAUAUGGGGCUUUUGACCAAAGGAUAAAUGGUUGAUCAUGGAUGUUGAUUUUGACUUCUACUUCAUACGGCAGCGUAAUCGUAAUCGUCCUCGGCCGGUCGGCCCCUUGCUAUGCCCACACAUACUCCUAUGUUCAGUGCAACACUACAAAUUAAAUGAUGGCUUGCUAGAACUUAUUGAGCACAUUUCUCCGAGCUUAUCCUAGGCACCCUUUCCUUCCUUUUUUUUCGAGGAUCCUAGUCACCGUCUGUAUGUAUACUUGUGCCCACUUUGCUUAGUGCAGCAAUGCAAAGUAAAUGAUGACUGUUUGAAACGUACCGAGCACAUUUCUCUCUGGGCUAUCCUAUUUUAAAGAUCGCGCUUUC